AACGAACGCUGGCGGCAGGCUUAACACAUGCAAGUCGAGGGGCAGCACGGGAGUAGCAAUACAACUGGUGGCGACCGGCGCACGGGUGAGUAACGCGUAUGCAACCUACCUAUCAGAGGGGAAUAACCCGGCGAAAGUCGGACUAAUACCGCAUAAAACAGGGGCACCGCAUGGUGAUAUUUGUUAAAGAAAUUCGCUGAUAGAUGGGCAUGCGUUCCAUUAGGUAGUUGGUGAGGUAACGGCUCACCAAGCCGACGAUGGAUAGGGGAACUGAGAGGUUGGUCCCCCACACUGGUACUGAGACACGGACCAGACUCCUACGGGAGGCAGCAGUGAGGAAUAUUGGUCAAUGGGCGGGAGCCUGAACCAGCCAAGUCGCGUGAAGGAAGAAGGAUCUAUGGUUCGUAAACUUCUUUUGCAGGGGAAUAAAGUGCAGGACGUGUCCUGUUUUGUAUGUACCCUGAGAAUAAGGAUCGGCUAACUCCGUGCCAGCAGCCGCGGUAAA
rnacentral:rRNA from 1 species